rnacentral:rRNA from 1 species
CCUACGGGAGGCAGCAGUAGGGAAUCUUUCACAAUGGGCGAAAGCCUGAUGGAGCAACGCCGCGUGCAGGAUGAAGGCCUUCGGGUUGUAAACUGCUUUUAUAAGCGAGAAAUAUGAUGGUAACUUAUGAAUAAGGAUCGGCUAACUACGUGCCAGCAGCCGCGGUAAUACGUAGGGGGCGAGCGUUAUCCGGAUUUACUGGGUGUAAAGGGAGCGUAGACGGCGGCGCAAGUCUGAAGUGAAAGCCCGUGGCUCAACCGCGGAACCGCUUUGGAAACUGCGAGGCUGGAGUGCUGGAGAGGUAUGCGGAAUUCCUGGUGUAGCGGUGAAAUGCGUAGAUAUCAGGAGGAACACCGGUGGCGAAGGCGGCUUACUGGACAGUGACUGACGUUGAGGCUCGAAAGCGUGGGGAGCGAACAGGAUUAGAUACCCUUGUAGUC